rnacentral:rRNA from 1 species
CAGCAGCCGCGGUAAUACAGAGACUGCAAGCGUUAUUCGGAAUUACUGGGCGUAAAGCGUGCGUAUGCUGCAAAGUGUGUCAGGUGUGAAAUCUCGGGGCUUAACUCCGAAACUGCGCCUGAAACUACAUUGCUAGAGUGUUGGAGAGGUGAGUGGAAUUCCAGGUGUAGCGGUGAAAUGCGUAGAUAUCUGGAGGAACACCAUUGGCGAAGGCAGCUCACUGGACCACAACUGACGCUGAUUCACGAAAGCGUUGGGAGCAAAAGGGAUUAGAUACCCCUGUAGUCCACGCCGUAAACGUUGUACACUAGGUUUUGGGAGAUUUGACCCUUUCAGAGCCCAAGCUAACGCGAUAAGUGUACCGCCUGAGGACUACGGCCGCAAGGCUAAAACUCAAAGGAAUUGACGGGGGCCCGCACAAGCGGUGGAGCAUGUGGCUUAAUUCGAUGCAACGCGAAGAACCUUACCUGGCCUUGACAUGCAGGAGACCUCCGGUGAAAGCGGACUUCCCUUCGGGGCUGCUGCACAGGUGCUGCAUGGCUGUCGUCAGCUCGUGUCGUGAGAUGUUCGGUUAAGUCCGGCAACGAGCGCAACCCUCGUCCUUAGUUGCCAGCGGGUAAUGCCGGGCACUCUAAGGAGAAAAGCUCCCUGUAGGAGCGGGAAGGUGGGGAUGACGUCAAGUCAGUAUGGCCCUUACGGCCAGGGCUGCACACGUGCUACAAUGCCCAGUACAAUAGGAUGCAAUAUCGCGAGAUGGAGCUAAUCCUUAAAGCUGGGCCCAGUUCGGAUUGGAGUCUGCAACUCGACUCCAUGAAGCCGGAAUCGCUAGUAAUGGCGUAUCAGCAACGACGCCGUGAAUACGUUCCCGGGCCUUGUACACACCGCCGGUCAAGUCAUGAAAGCCGGUCGCGCCCGAAGUGCGUGUGCCAACCCGCAAGGGAGGCCGCGUCCUAAGGUGUGGCUGGUGAUUGUGACUAAGUCGUAACAAGGUAACCGUA